ensembl:lncRNA
AUUAGUGCAAAACAAAUUCAGUGCACAUAUGCGACCUGCACAUACAAAAUAGGAGUGGUUACAAAAAUUAGGUGGUGUGUGUACAGUAUGCACAUUAUUCCGGGAUGCAAUAAUGCGCACUUUACGGCGUGGACCCUGUAUACUUUGGGAUUUAUAGUGUAAUGUUCAUUGUGCCAUCUCUCACUCUGCUUCUUUCUAUAUCUUUUUUUUUUCUGAAUGUGAAUAGGUCUGACAGGAUGACAGGUUUAGUUAAUGGUUCAGUUGUGGACAACCAUGACCAAGCCAUAACUGAAGCUCUGGAGCAGUUCUGCAACUCCCCGGAGCAAACAUAUGAGCAGUUUCUGUCCACCUUUACGUACCUGACCCCAGAGAAUGUGAGGGAUCCACGAUUGACUGCUCCUAGAAGACAUGGAGAACCAUCCCAGAGAGAGAUGGACAGCAGCCGAGAGCGACCAAGAGAGAAUGAAGCGACAGAGAUGGAGGAUAGCGUAAACAGAAGGAUGGGACUAACAAAUAGUUGCUCACCGACUGCUGAUCAGGAAGAGGUCAGCACCUUAUAGACCUGAACAGCUUGAACCGACAGUCUUAACUGGGAGAGAUUCAGGCAGACCUCUCCUUCACUCGCCUUCAAUUAAAGUCUCCUGCAUUAGCCAUUGCUCUGUUUAUCACACAUACACACAGCUCCUUCUAAUGUGUAAUUGUUUCUUUUUUCUGUCUUUUUCGUCUUGCCUUUUUAGUGUUGUUUCCUAAGGCUAACAUCACUAUUGCUUACACUCAGGAUUAGGGCUAGGCACCAUUUGUUAAAAUAUAAACAAAAUAUCAUAGACUUACAUAAACUCAAGAUAUAUGAAGGGACCAGCAUAUUGUGGAGAUUUGGUCCCCAUAUAGUGAUUAUUUGGGGGCUUUUUAUGGUGGUGAUUUUUGUUUGCACAUUUUCUUCUUAAUGCACAGGUGGUUACUUUUGUACAUGCAUUCUGAAGAAAAUUUGCUUGCAACCAGUGUUGGGGAAAGUUAC